rnacentral:rRNA from 1 species
CCCGCACAAGCGGAGGAACAUGUGGUUUAAUUCGAUGAUACGCGAGGAACCUUACCUGGGCUUAAAUGGGGAGUGACAGCUGUCGAAAGAUGGUUUUCUUCGGGCACUCUUCAAGGUGCUGCAUGGUUGUCGUCAGCUCGUGCCGUGAGGUGUCGGGUUAAGUCCCAUAACGAGCGCAACCCUUACCGUUAGUUACCAUCAGGUUAAGCUGGGGACUCUAGCGGGACUGCCACCGUAAGGUGAGAGGAAGGUGGGGAUGACGUCAAAUCAGCACGGCCCUUAUGUCCAGGGCUACACACGUGUUACAAUGGCCGGUACAAAGGGCAGCUACUUCGCGAGAAGAUGCUAAUCUCGAAAGCCGGUCUCAGUUCGGAUCGAAGUCUGCAACCCGACUUCGUGAAGCUGGAUUCGCUAGUAAUCGCGCAUCAGCCAUGGCGCGGUGAAUACGUUCCCGGGCCUU